GAGCUUGCUUCGGCAGCACAUAGACUAAGAAUGGAGCAGCACAGAGAAAAUGAGCAUGGCCCCUGUGCGAGGAUGCCAGGCAAAUUCGGUAAGCGUUCCGCACUCUU